UGUCUGACUCACGGGAAACGCUGUACCGGGAGAGACUAUAUGCGUAUAAUAUACGGCACGUGGUAUUAUAUGACUUCCGUUUAUAAUUGUCGAAAAAUUUUAAUAUCGACUUUUGAAGUCCGACAAUGCCGCUGAACAGACAGAUUAACAGCUCAUAUUAAAAACUUGGUAAUUCGAAAACAAUUCAACACAGGACGAGAUUUCAAGCCAACUAAACACUGCAGUUCUAUCUUAAUAUCAUUUCAAGUCAUCCUUAUAAUAAUAUGUUGUGUGUAGCAUGUUUUUUUUUUUAAAAAUAUAUAAUCUAGUAAAGUAGAACAAAGAACAUUUAAAAAGUUUCAAGUAUAUUUUUUAAAAUCCAAAUAUUAGAAUUAGUAUUAAGUCAUCACCAAAUGAAAAUAUGGGUGUGGCACUGUGUAUAAAAACCGUCAAACACCCCACCAUUUAGGUCGGGGUAACGGCGGGCUCAUCCGUUCCGGACUGUUCGUCUGCAGCCACCGUCGCUUAAUUUACACACACACACGCACACAUACAAUACAUUAUUUUGGAUAAUACGAACACACGCCAAUGGGCUUUCGACCGAAAACUCGACGAUGAAAAUAUUACAAGUCUAUAUAUGUAUAUAUACACCGUGUGCAUCGUGUUAUAUAACGUCGGGAUGGCGUUUAACCCGAUUAACCGAUCCCCAAAACAUCCUUUUUACUUCACUCCACUGCGUCAGCACCAGAGCAGUGUCGUUGCCUGCGAAUUUGAUUUGCGAAAUCUUAUUACGAUCGCGCCCGUAUACGAGUAUAGUUAUACAUUUUUAUUAAUGUCCCUUGAUGUUCGCAACGGUUCCGUCGUCGCCACAUGUCCACCGCUCGGCAUCAAUUUGUUUUCGAAAUGUACACACACACACGGAGGAAGCUGCUAAAUAAAUUGUCGAUUGUGUCGCGCGUGCAGGGGUCGAGACUUGAGGUUCUGUAUAAAUAUAUAAUAUAUAUAUAUGUAUACUCGAUUCAGUGUAACGCAAUUACUUGCAUUGAACACGUGUUCAAUUCCACACUGUACGUCUGUACACACGCUUAAUAAUAUUAUUAUAUAAUAAUUUAUACUCUGUGCCCAUGUGUGUGUCUGUGGAGCUUAAUUAUUGACAUGCGCCUUACCAAUCUGUAUACACCCGAGUUCCGGGAUAUACAAUUUUCACAUCACCCGCUGCUGUAGUUAUUACUACUUAUUACGUUUCGAACAAAGUGAAAAAAACCUUAGCCGAUGUUGACGAUGUAAUCACGGUAGGCUUACGUAUGUUGUAUAUAUACGAGUUUUUGUGAACGGUUAUAAAAAAUAAAAUAAGAUUAUAGUCGAAAUCCCCACAAAAUGGUCAAAUUUUAAUUUUAAAAACCUUAUCAGGAGCAGUACCUUAAAUAAAAUACAAUAUAUUAUAUCCAUAUACUUAAAACUCUAACUUAGCAAAACGAUUGAAGAAUGUAACGAAAAAACUCUUUAAAACAAAAUGUGUUAUUUAAAUUAAUAAAUAUA